GACGAACGCUGGCGGCGUGCCUAAUACAUGCAAGUAGAACGCUGAAGGAGGAGCUUGCUUCUCCGGAUGAGUUGCGAACGGGUGAGUAACGCGUAGGUAACCUGCCUGGUAGCGGGGGAUAACUAUUGGAAACGAUAGCUAAUACCGCAUAACAGUAGAUAUUGCAUGAUAUCUGCUUGAAAGGUGCAAUUGCAUCACUACCAGAUGGACCUGCGUUGUAUUAGCUAGUUGGUGAGGUAACGGCUCACCAAGGCGACGAUACAUAGCCGACCUGAGAGGGUGAUCGGCCACACUGGGACUGAGACACGGCCCAGACUCCUACGGGAGGCAGCAGUAGGGAAUCUUCGGCAAUGGACGGAAGUCUGACCGAGCAACGCCGCGUGAGUGAAGAAGGUUGUCGGAUCGUAAAGCUCUGUUGUAAGAGAAGAACGAGUGUGAGAGUGGAAAGUUCACACUGUGACGGUAUCUUACCAGAAAGGGACGGCUAACUACGUG
rnacentral:rRNA from 1 species